rnacentral:rRNA from 1 species
GAUGAACGCUGGCGGCGUGCCUAAUACAUGCAAGUCGAGCGAACAGACGAGGAGCUUGCUCCUCUGAUGUUAGCGGCGGACGGGUGAGUAACACGUGGAUAACCUACCUAUAAGACUGGGAUAACUUCGGGAAACCGGAGCUAAUACCGGAUAAUAUAUUGAACCGCAUGGUUCAAAAGUGAAAGACGGUUUUGCUGUCACUUAUAGAUGGAUCCGCGCUGCAUUAGCUAGUUGGUAAGGUAACGGCUUACCAAGGCAACGAUGCAUAGCCGACCUGAGAGGGUGAUCGGCCACACUGGAACUGAGACACGGUCCAGACUCCUACGGGAGGCAGCAGUAGGGAAUCUUCCGCAAUGGGCGAAAGCCUGACGGAGCAACGCCGCGUGAGUGAUGAAGGUCUUCGGAUCGUAAAACUCUGUUAUUAGGGAAGAACAAAUGUGUAAGUAACUAUGCACAUCUUGACGGUACCUAAUCAGAAAGCCACGGCUAACUACGUG